rnacentral:rRNA from 1 species
UAGGAUUCCCCCAGUAGCUGCGAGCGAACAGGGAUUAGCCCAGCACUGAAUCCCGCGGCCGAUACCGGACGCCGGGAAAUGUGGUGUUAGGGAGGAUCCAUUUAUCCUGAGAUUGUGCGACGCGUCCAAGUCCUUCUUGAACGGGGCUAUAGCCCAUAGAGGGUGCCAGGCCCGUAGUGACCGUUGCCAAUAGCGGGAGGAUCUCUCCUCAGAGUCGGGUUGCUUGAGAGUGCAGCCCUAAGUGGGUGGUAAACUCCAUCUAAGGCUAAAUAUGACCACGAGACCGAUAGCGAACAAGUACCGUGAGGGAAAGUUGAAAAGCACUUUGAAGAGAGAGUUCAAUAGUACGUGAAACCGUUCAGAGGUAAACCUGAGAAACCCGAAAGGUCGAAAGGGGAAAUUCAUUCGCGUCUCGAUGCCAGCAAAGUUUAGUUGUAUGACAAAGUGAUGGUACGCCAUUGAUUUGCAUCUACAAUUCUUUGGUAUCUGGUGUCGAAUGCGUGCACUUUUCCCCUAGUAGGACGUCGCGAUCCGUUGGGUGUCGGUCUAAGGCCCGUGGUGGUAGCCCGUUUGGGGAUGCGGUUACCAUGCCGUUGUUCUCCAAUCGGACCCAUGGUGUUUCCCGACCGACUAUCUCGACGGUAUACAGAUGGCGCAGGGCCGCGAUUCAUUUCGCGUCCGGCCCGUGGCAAGCACGUUUGGAUAUGUUUGUUGGUGUAACGGACCUAGUGUGCCGUUCCCGACCACAAGCGACUGUUGGCUGCGGUGUUCUCGGACAGUGCUCUGAUCAUUUAAACGCUGAUCUGCGGCGCUUUAGCUUUGGGUACUUUCAGGACCCGUCUUGAAACACGGACCAAGGAGUCUAGCAUGUGCGCAAGUCAUUGGGGCAUGACUAAACCUAAAGGCGCAAUGAAAGUGAAGGUUCGUGCUUGCACGAACCAAGGGAGGAUGGGUGGUUUGCCCUUAAAGUGGCCACUCCGCACUCCCGGGGCGUCUCAUUCUCGUAUGCGCAUUUAUGUGUGUAUGAGAGGAGGCGCACCAAGAGCGUACACGCUGGGACCCGAAAGAUGGUGAACUAUGCCUGGUCAGGACGAAGUCAGGGGAAACCCUGAUGGAGGUCCGUAGCGAUUCUGACGUGCAAAUCGAUCGUCGGAACUGGGUAUAGGGGCGUAAGACUAAUCGAACCAUCUAGUAGCUGGUUCCCUCCGAAGUUUCCCUCAGGAUAGCUGGCGCUCAGUGCGUACGAGUUUCAUCCGGUAAAGCGAAUGAUUAGAGGCAUUGGGGUCGAAACGACCUCAACCUAUUCUCAAACUUUAAAUGGGUGAGAUCUCCGGCUUGCUUGAACGACAACCAUCAACUUGUUGAUGAUUGAAGCCGUGAGUGAUACAAAUAUAAUUGAACGAAUCAGAG